GUGCCGGCCGCCGCUGUAAUACGGAGGGUGCAAGCGUUAAUCGGAAUUACUGGGCGUAAAGCGCACGCAGGCGGUCUGACAAGUCGGAUGUGAAAUCCCCGGGCUCAACCCGGGAACUGCAUUCGAAACUGUCAGGCUGGAGUCUUGUAGAGGGGGUAGAAUUCCAGGUGUAGCGGUGAAAUGCGUAGAGAUCUGGAGGAAUACCGGUGGCGAAGGCGGCCCCCUGGACAAAGACUGACGCUCAGGUGCGAAAGCGUGGGGAGCAAACAGGAUUAGAUACCCUGGUAGUCCACGCUGUAAACGAUGUCGACUUGGAGGUUGUGCCCUUGAGGCGUGGCUUCCGGAGCUAACGCGUUAAGUCGACCGCCUGGGGAGUACGGCCGCAAGGUUAAAACUCAAAAUGAAUUGACGGGGCCCGCGACAAGCGGCGGAGCAUGUGGUUUAAUUCGAUGCAACGCGAAGAACCUUACCUGGUCUUGACAUCCACAGAAGUUUUCAGAGAUGAGAAUGUGCCUUCGGGAACUGUGAGACAGGUGC
rnacentral:rRNA from 1 species